GGAGGGAUGGCCGAGUGGUCGAAGGCGGCGGUCUUGAAAACCGCUGAGCAGCAAUGCUCCGUGGGUUCGAAUCCUACUCCCUCCG
rnacentral:tRNA from 1 species